GGGGAUGAUCGGUUUCGACGGUGGUAGUUAGUUGGAGGGAAGCGGGUCGAGGAGGCAGGGUCCACUCGAUAACGAUCUCUGCAAACCAAUAGGUGCCAACAAGAACAAGAGCACCGAUUUCGCCCUCGCUGCCUAAGAUAGCGAGCUUCGAAAUCUGUCGGCCUUAGCGUAGCUUUCCGCUAGGGGUCCGGCAUCGUUUAGAAAGCCACUGGGUGGCGGGCCUGCUACGGGUUCGUCUCCGACAUUUAGUAGAUAGGUUCGUCAGGGCCUGGUUCGCGUGGAACCCUGGAGCCGAAAAUAACUAGCAAGCGAACUGCACCCGGAGAAGUCUUCAGUAGGUACCAUCGGACCGGGGUUCGAUUCCCCGCAUCUCCACAA
rfam:Actinobaculum suis strain T311 R9-3-1_contig_18, whole genome shotgun sequence.